rnacentral:rRNA from 1 species
UACGGGGGGGGGCAAGCGUUGUUCGGAAUUACUGGGCGUAAAGGGCCAGUAGGCGGCCAACUAAGUCCGACGUGAAAUCCCAAGGCUUAACCUUGGAACUGCAUCUGAUACUGGAUGGCUUGAGUUCGGGAGAGGGAUGCGGAAUUCCAGGUGUAGCGGUGAAAUGCGUAGAUAUCUGGAGGAACACCGGUGGCGAAGGCGGCAUCCUGGACCGACACUGACACUGAGGAGCGAAAGCCAGGGGAGCAAACGGG